UACGGAGGGGGCUAGCGUUGUUCGGAAUUACUGGGCGUAAAGCGUGCGCAGGCGGCUUUUUAAGGCUGUGGUGAAAUCCCCGGGCUUAACCUGGGAAUUGCGAUGGUGACUGCAAGGCUAGAGUUUGGCAGAGGGGGGUAGAAUUCCACGUGUAGCAGUGAAAUGCGUAGAGAUGUGGAGGAACACCGAUGGCGAAGGCAGCCCCCUGGGUCAAGGCUGACGCUGUGGCGCGAAAGCUAGGGGAGCGAACGGG
rnacentral:rRNA from 1 species